GGGGGCGAAUGGAUUCGACGAGGGUUAUGAUACUCAUAUCGCAUGUCGUGGCUCCGCAACCACGUAAAAAUGCGGGAAACCAUUUAAACGCCAAUAACGAAUUAGCACUCGCCGCUUAAACAAAGCGCCGACGUCCUACCUGAGAAACCUGCUACCAGGCAAGGGCGCAAUAAAGCAGGCUGGCACUGAGCGAGGGCCUCGGCAAUCAGUGUGAGACACAGGGGAUUGGGAGAAGGAUGGCCUGCUGGUUGGCAACCGGAUCCUGAAAUGAACAAAAUAGGCCGGCUAAACAUGUAGUGGUUUGAGGGUAGUGCUUUCGGACGCGGGUUCGACUCCCGCCGCCUCCACUA
rnacentral:tmRNA from 1 species